AUUGAACGCUGGCGGCAUGCCUUACACAUGCAAGUCGAACGGUAACAGGUCUUCGGAUGCUGACGAGUGGCGAACGGGUGAGUAAUACAUCGGAACGUGCCUAGUAGUGGGGGAUAACUACUCGAAAGAGUGGCUAAUACCGCAUGAGAUCUACGGAUGAAAGCAGGGGAUCGCAAGACCUUGUGCUACUAGAGCGGCCGAUGGCAGAUUAGGUAGUUGGUGGGAUAAAAGCUUACUAAGCCGACGAUCUGUAGCUGGUCUGAGAGGACGAUCAGCCACACUGGGACUGAGACACGGCCCAGACUCCUACGGGAGGCAGCAGUGGGGAAUUUUGGACAAUGGGCGCAAGCCUGAUCCAGCAAUGCCGCGUGCAGGAUGAAGGCCUUCGGGUUGUAAACUGCUUUUGUACGGAACGAAAAGCCCUGGGUUAAUACCCUGGGGUCAUGACGGUACCGUAAGAAUAAGCACCGGCUAACUACGUGCCAGCAGCCGCCGCGGUAA
rnacentral:rRNA from 1 species